rnacentral:ncRNA from 1 species
AGCUGAGGACGACCUCAGGCUGCACCACUCACCGGGGACGGCCCC